rnacentral:rRNA from 1 species
CCUACGGGGAGCUGCAGUGGGGAAUAUUGGGCAAUGGGCGCAAGCCUGACCCAGCAACGCCGCGUGAAGGAAGAAGGCUUUCGGGUUGUAAACUUCUUUUCUGAGGGACGAAGAAAGUGACGGUCCCUCAGUAAUCCGCCACUACUAACUACGUGCCAGCAGCCGCGGUAAUACGUAGGUGGCAGGCGUGAUCCGUUUUUAGUGGGGGUAAAGGGCGGGUAGGCGGGAAAGCAAGUCAGAUGUGAAAACUCAGGGCUCAACCCUGAGCCUGCAUUGGAAACUGUAGUUCUGGAGUGCGGGAGAGGGAAUCGGAAUUCCGGGUGUAGCGGUGAAAUGCGUAGAUAGACGGAGGAACACCAGUGGCGAAGGCGGAUUGCUGGACAGUAACUGACGCUGAGGCGCGAAAGCGUGGGGAGCAAACAGGAUUAGAUACCCCGGUAGUC